rnacentral:rRNA from 1 species
AACGAACGCUGGCGGCAUGCCUAACACAUGCAAGUCGAACGAGACCUUCGGGUCUAGUGGCGCACGGGUGCGUAACGCGUGGGAACCUGCCCUUAGGUUCGGAAUAACUCCCCGAAAGGGGUGCUAAUACCGGAUAAUGUCUUCGGACCAAAGAUUUAUCGCCUUUGGAUGGACCCGCGUUGGAUUAGCUAGUUGGUAGGGUAAAAGCCUACCAAGGCGACGAUCCAUAGCUGGUCUGAGAGGAUGAUCAGCCACACUGGGACUGAGACACGGCCCAGACUCCUACGGGAGGCAGCAGUGGGGAAUAUUGGACAAUGGGCGGAAGCCUGAUCCAGCAAUGCCGCGUGAGUGAUGAAGGCCUUAGGGUUGUAAAGCUCUUUUACCCGGGAUGAUAAUGACAGUACCGGGAGAAUAAGCUCCGGCUAACUCCGUG